rnacentral:rRNA from 1 species
UGAGGAAUAUUGGUCAAUGGGUGCAAGCCUGAACCAGCCAUGCCGCGUGAAGGAUUAAGGUUCUAUGAAUUGUAAACUUCUUUUGUCAGGGAAAAAACCCUCGAACGUGUUCGAGGCUGAUGGUACCUGAAGAAUAAGGAUCGGCUAACUCCGUGCCAGCAGCCGCGGUAAUACGGAGGAUCCAAGCGUUAUCCGGAUUCACUGGGUUUAAAGGGUGUGUAGGCGGAGCAUUAAGUCAGUGGUGAAAUCCUGUCGCUUAACGACAGAACUGCCAUAGAAACUGAUGCUCUUGAAUGUGGUUGAGGUAAGCGGAAUGUGUAGUGUAGCGGUGAAAUGCUUAGAUAUUACACAGAACACCUAUUGCGAAGGCAGCUUGCUAAGCCAUGAUUGACGCUGAGAC